UAAAAGUAGGAAACUGAAAAUCCUUUGCUAUUACACUCAAUAUUCCUUUCAUGAAAUUCUCCCAUUUUCAUCUAUGUAAAAUAAAACAAUUAUUCGUCCUCU